UUUUAUGGAGAGUUUGAUCCUGGCUCAGGAUGAACGCUGGCGGCGUGCCUAAUACAUGCAAGUCGAGCGGACGGACGAGAAGCUUGCUUCUCUGAUGUUAGCGGCGGACGGGUGAGUAACACGUGGAUAACCUACCUAUAAGACUGGGACAACUUCGGGAAACCGGAGCUAAUACCGGAUAAUAUUUUGAACCGCAUGGUUCAAAAGUGAAAGACGGUCUUGCUGUCACUUAUAGAUGGAUCCGCGCUGCAUUAGCUAGUUGGUAAGGUAACGGCUUACCAAGGCAACGAUGCAUAGCCGACCUGAGAGGGUGAUCGGCCACACUGGAACUGAGACACGGUCCAGACUCCUACGGGAGGCAGCAGUAGGGAAUCUUCCGCAAUGGGCGAAAGCCUGACGGAGCAACGCCGCGUGAGUGAUGAAGGUCUUCGGAUCGUAAAACUCUGUUAUUAGGGAAGAACAUAUGUGUAAGUAACUGUGCACAUCUUGACGGUACCUAAUCAGAAAGCCACGGCUAACUACGUGCCAGCAGCCGCGGUAAUACGUAGGUGGCAAGCGUUAUCCGGAAUUAUUGGGCGUAAAGCGCGCGUAGGCGGUUUUUUAAGUCUGAUGUGAAAGCCCACGGCUCAACCGUGGAGGGUCAUUGGAAACUGGAAAACUUGAGUGCAGAAGAGGAAAGUGGAAUUCCAUGUGUAGCGGUGAAAUGCGCAGAGAUAUGGAGGAACACCAGUGGCGAAGGCGAUUUUCUGGUCUGUAACUGACGCUGAUGUGCGAAAGCGUGGGGAUCAAACAGGAUUAGAUACCCUGGUAGUCCACGCCGUAAACGAUGAGUGCUAAGUGUUAGGGGGUUUCCGCCCCUUAGUGCUGCAGCUAACGCAUUAAGCACUCCGCCUGGGGAGUACGACCGCAAGGUUGAAACUCAAAGGAAUUGACGGGGACCCGCACAAGCGGUGGAGCAUGUGGUUUAAUUCGAAGCAACGCGAAGAACCUUACCAAAUCUUGACAUCCUUUGACAACUCUAGAGAUAGAGCCUUCCCCUUCGGGGGACAAAGUGACAGGUGGUGCAUGGUUGUCGUCAGCUCGUGUCGUGAGAUGUUGGGUUAAGUCCCGCAACGAGCGCAACCCUUAAGCUUAGUUGCCAUCAUUAAGUUGGGCACUCUAAGUUGACUGCCGGUGACAAACCGGAGGAAGGUGGGGAUGACGUCAAAUCAUCAUGCCCCUUAUGAUUUGGGCUACACACGUGCUACAAUGGACAAUACAAAGGGCAGCGAAACCGCGAGGUCAAGCAAAUCCCAUAAAGUUGUUCUCAGUUCGGAUUGUAGUCUGCAACUCGACUACAUGAAGCUGGAAUCGCUAGUAAUCGUAGAUCAGCAUGCUACGGUGAAUACGUUCCCGGGUCUUGUACACACCGCCCGUCACACCACGAGAGUUUGUAACACCCGAAGCCGGUGGAGUAACCUUUUAGGAGCUAGCCGUCGAAGGUGGGACAAAUGAUUGGGGUGAAGUCGUAACAAGGUAGCCGUAUCGGAAGGUGCGGCUGGAUCACCUCCUUUCUAA
rnacentral:rRNA from 1 species